rnacentral:rRNA from 1 species
UGGGGAAUUGUUCACAAUGGGCGCAAGCCUGAUGACGCAACGCCGCGUGGGGGAUGAAGGUCUUCGGAUCGUAAACCCCUGUCGAAUGGGACGAAAGACUCGCGAGUGAAUACUUCGCGAGAGUGACGGUACCGUUAAAGGAAGCCACGGCUAACUCUGUGCCAGCAGCCGCGGUAAUACAGAGGUGGCAAGCGUUGUUCGGAAUUACUGGGCGUAAAGGGCGCGUAGGCGGCCCUCUAAGUCAGACGUGAAAUCCCCCGGCUUAACCUGGGAACUGCGUCUGAUACUGGAGGGCUUGAGUAUGGGAGAGGGAUGUAGAAUUCCGGGUGUAGUGGUGAAAUGCGUAGAGAUCCGGAGGAACACCAGUGGCGAAGGCGACACGCUGGGCCGCACCUGACGCUAAGACGCGACAGCAUGGGGAGCAAACAGGAUUAGAUACCCGAGUAGUCCCUGAGCGGGCUGGCAAGGCGCAU